UCUAGAUUAGAGUUUGAUCAUGGCUCAGAUUGAACGCUGGCGGCAGGCCUAACACAUGCAAGUCGAGCGCGAAAGCCUUCGGGUGAGUAGAGCGGCGGACGGGUGAGUAACACGUGGGAAUCUACCUGGUGGAGGGGGACAACUCGGGGAAACUCGAGCUAAUACCGCAUACGCCCCAAGGGGGAAAGCGGGGGAUCUUCGGACCUCGCGCUAUCAGAAGAGCCCGCGUCGGAUUAGCUAGUUGGUGGGGUAAAGGCCUACCAAGGCGACGAUCCGUAGCUGGUCUGAGAGGAUGAUCAGCCACACUGGAACUGAGACACGGUCCAGACUCCUACGGGAGGCAGCAGUGGGGAAUAUUGCACAAUGGGGGAAACCCUGAUGCAGCCAUGCCGCGUGUGUGAAGAAGGCCCUCGGGUUGUAAAGCACUUUCAGUAGGGAGGAAGGGAUGCUGGCUAAUAUCCAGCGUCAUUGACGUUACCUACAGAAGAAGCACCGGCUAACUCCGUGCCAGCAGCCGCGGUAAUACGGAGGGUGCGAGCGUUAAUCGGAAUUACUGGGCGUAAAGCGCGCGUAGGCGGUCAUUUAAGCUAGAUGUGAAAUCCCCGGGCUUAACCUGGGAAUCGCAUUUAGAACUGGAUGGCUAGAGUACCRGAAGAGGGGUGUGGAWUUUCCGGUGUAGCGGGUGAAAUGCGUAGAGAUCGGAAAGGAACAUCCAGUGGCGAAGGCGACACUCUGGUCUGAUACUGACGCUGAGKGUGCGAAAGCGUGGGGARCAAAACARGAUUAGAUACCCUGGUAGUCCACGCCGUAAAACGAUGUCUACUAGCCGUUGGAGAGCUUGACUCUUUAGUGGCGCAGCUAACGCACUAAGUAGACCGCCUGGGGAGUACGGCCGCAAGGUUAAAACUCAAAUGAAUUGACGGGGGCCCGCACAAGCGGUGGAGCAUGUGGUAUAAUUCGAAGCAACGCGAAGAACCUUACCUACUCUUGACAUCCUGAGAACCCUGUCGAGAUAUGGGGGUGCCUUCGGGAGCUCAGUGACAGGUGCUGCAUGGCUGUCGUCAGCUCGUGUCGUGAGAUGUUGGGUUAAGUCCCGUAACGAGCGCAACCCUUGUCCUUAGUUGCCAUCAGGUAAAGCUGGGAACUCUAAGGAGACUGCCGGUGACAAACCGGAGGAAGGUGGGGACGACGUCAAGUCAUCAUGGCCCUUACGAGUAGGGCUACACACGUGCUACAAUGGGCGGUACAAAGGGUUGCCAAAGCGCGAGCUGGAGCUAAUCCCGUAAAACCGUUCGUAGUCCGGAUCGGAGUCUGCAACUCGACUCCGUGAAGUCGGAAUCGCUAGUAAUCGCAAAUCAGAAUGUUGCGGUGAAUACGUUCCCGGGCCUUGUACACACCGCCCGUCACACCAUGGGAGUGGGUUGCACCAGAAGUGGCUAGUCUAACCGCAAGGGGGACGGUCACCACGGUGUGAUUCAUGACUGGGGUGAAGUCGUAACAAGGUAGCCGUA
rnacentral:rRNA from 1 species